UAUUAUUUUUGAUGUUAAUUAUUUAACCUGAGUAGUAAUAGAUAUGAUCUUGAAACUUAAAGAAUUUGGCAGUAUUUUAUUCUGUUUAGAGGAACCUGUUUUUUUAUCGAUAAUCCUCGUUGGACCUUACUUAAUUUAUUGAUUUGUAUACCGCCGUUGUAUUGAGAGUCUUUUUAGUGUUUUUAAUUUUCUGGAUUUUAUUUUAAAUUAUUUCAGGUCAAGGUGCAAUUUAUGGUUAAGUAGAAAUGGGUUACGUUUAUAUUUAUUUUUGGAUUAUUGAAUGAAAUUUUAAUAUGAAAUUGGAUUUGAAUGUAAUUAUUAUUUUAGAUUGUAGUAAUGAUUUAGUUUCUGGAGUGUGUACACAUCGCCCGUCACUCUCGUUAUUUAUUCGAG
rnacentral:rRNA from 1 species